rnacentral:rRNA from 1 species
GACGUAGGGCGCGAGCGUUGUCCGGAUUUAUUGGGCGUAAAGAGCUCGUAGGCGGUUUGUUGCGUCGGCUGUGAAAUCCCGAGGCUCAACCUCGGGUCUGCAGUCGAUACGAGCAAACUAGAGUGUUGCAGGGGAGACUGGAAUUCCUGGUGUAGCGGUAGAAAUGCGCAGAUAUCAGGAGGAACACCGGUGGCGAAGGCGGGUCUCUGGGCAACACUGACGCUGAGGAGCGAAAGCGUGGGGAGCGAACAGG